AUGGAGGAGGUGACGGAGGGGGUCAAGAACCUGGCCGUGACGGAGCCGCACAAGAAGAACCGGAUCCAGGUCUCCAACACGAAGAAGCCGCUCUUCUUCUAUGUCAACCUCGCCAAGAGGUACAUGCAGAUGCAUAACGAGGUGGAACUCUCCGCCCUCGGCAUGGCUACCGCCACUGUGGUGACAGUUGCCGAAAUUCUGAAAAAUAAUGGCCUUGCUGUUGAGAAGAAGAUCAUGACAUCCACUGUUGAUGUCAACGAUGAAUCAAGGGGCCGCCCGAUGCAGAAGGCCAAGAUUGAGAUAGUGCUGGGCAAGACUGAGAACUUCGACGAGCUGAUGGCUGCUGCCGCGGAGGAGAGGGAAGUCGCAGCUGCCGAGGACGGCGAGGAGCAGGGCUAA
rnacentral:rRNA from 1 species